AAACACAAAUCCUGCAAAUCGUCCACAGAGCGGGGGGGGCGUGGGCUUAUCCUUUUGUCCUCUUGUCGUGUUCACAUCAGUCAUAUGCAAAUGCAAAUUGCACAUUGAGAAUGACACAAAUCCGCCAUGUCGAAACUCUCACAGAGAACCGGCGACGGCUAUUGAGUUAACAUGAUUUAUAAGACUGACCCACUUCCGGGGGGGUGGGCAGGACAUU